CCAGACUCCUACGGGAGGCAGCAGUGAGGAAUAUUGGUCAAUGGGCGCGAGCCUGAACCAGCCAAGUCGCGUGAGGGAGGACGGCCCUACGGGUUGUAAACCUCUUUUGCCGGGGAGCAACGGGCGUCACGUGUGGCGCCACUGAGAGUACCCGGAGAAAAAGCAUCGGCUAACUCCGUGCCAGCAGCCGCGGUAAUACGGAGGAUGCGAGCGUUAUCCGGAUUUACUGGGUGUAAAGGGCGUGUAGGCGGGAGUGCAAGUCAGAUGUGAAAUCCACGGGCUCAACCCGUGAACUGCAUUUGAAACUGUUUCCCUUGAGUGUCGGAGAGGUAAUCGGAAUUCCUUGUGUAGCGGUGAAAUGCGUAGAUAUAAGGAAGAACACCAGUGGCGAAGGCGGAUUACUGGACGAUAACUGACGGUGAGGCGCGAAAGCGUGGGGAGCAAACAGGAUUAGAUACCCCAGUAC
rnacentral:rRNA from 1 species